rnacentral:rRNA from 1 species
CUUGCCAAAUAAUUGUUGGCCUGCAUGAAUGGCGUCAUGAUCCUUCCGCUGUCUCUCCCGGGUCGCCAGCGAACUUGACAUUCUCGUGAAGAGGCGAGAGAUUUAGCACGGGACGAUAAGACCCUGGCACCUUGACUUCAAGCUGUUGUUGCUGUUCUUACUUCAGGAGUUCAGUCUAGGUGGGACUUUUCUGAUUUCAUAGAAAAGACAAAUGAGAGACCACCCUUUUGAAGAAGAGCAGCUCCAAAAAAAGGAACUGUGAAGGUGUUGUUCAAACCCUGUUUGAACACACUCAACUCACUCUCAGCUUAGGGCCCUAAGGGCCUUCCAGAGGCCAUCGCUCGAGGGCCAUCACAGAUGGCCCUCGGCCACCUAAGUGGCCCUUUGGAGCGACCCUAAUGAAAUCUUUAAUCCUAGGCGAAAGUUCUGUUUUUGGUCAGACAGUGUGGGAGUUUCUCUGGGGCGGAGGCCUCCAAAACAGUAUCGGAGGCGCGCCAAGGUUAGAAACCCCCCUUUCAUGGGCAAGGUUUUGUGGCAAUCCAUUUCUCUAGCCUGACUGUAAGGAACACUCUCCGAACAGGUACGCAAGUAGGCGAUAGUGACCCAGUGGUUUGGUGUGGAAAAACCACUGAUCAUCGGAUCAAAGGUACGCCAGGGAUAACAGGUUCAUCGGCUCCUAGAGGUGCGCCACUGUG